UCAUAAUCAGUGAAAUCGAGUAGGGCGGGACACGUGAUAUCCUGUCUGAAUAUGGGGGGACCAUCCUCCAAGGCUAAAUACUACUGACUGACCGAUAGUGAACCAGUACCGUGAGGGAAAGGCGAAAAGAACCCCUGUGAGGGGAGUGAAAUAGAACCUGAAACCGUGUACGUACAAGCAGUAGGAGCACCUUCGUGGUGUGACUGCGUACCUUUUGUAUAAUGGGUCAGCACUUAAUUUUAGUAGCAAGGUUAACCGUUUAGGGGAGCCGUAGGGAAACCGAGUCUUAACUGGGCGUACAGUUGCUAGGAUUAGACCCGAAACCAGGUGAUCUAGCCAUGGGCAGGUUGAAGGUUGAGUAACAUCAACUGGAGGACCGAACCGACUAAUGUUGAAAAAUUAGCGGAUGACUUGUGGCUAGGGGUGAAAGGCCAAUCAAACCUGGAGAUAGCUGGUUCUCCCCGAAAGCUAUUUAGUAGCGCCUCGGACGAAUACUACUGGGGGUAGAGCACUGUUAAGGCUAGGGGGUCAUCCCGACUUACCAACCCUUUGCAAACUCCGAAUACCAGUAAGUACUAUCCGGGAGACACACGGCGGGUGCUAACGUCCGUCGUGGAGAGGGAAACAACCCAGACCGCCAGCUAAGGUCCCAAAGUAUAGCUAAGUGGGAAACGAUGUGGGAAGGCUCAGACAGCCAGGAUGUUGGCUUAGAAGCAGCC
rnacentral:rRNA from 1 species